rnacentral:rRNA from 1 species
GUAAGUACUACCUCAGAGACUGGGAGUAACGUUCGGAAAACGAUACGCUAAUACCGGAUGAUUCAUAUCUAGAUAACUAGAUAUGCUAAAAGGAGCUUCGGCUUCACUUUGAGAUGAGCUUGCGGUGUAUUAGCUAGUUGGUGAGGUAAUGGCUCACCAAGGCAACGAUGCAUAUCCGAGCUGAGAGGCUGGAUCGGACACACUGGGACUGAGACACGGCCCAGACUCCUACGGGAGACAGCAGUCGGGAAUAUUGCACAAUGGAGGAAACUCUGAUGCAGUGACGCCGCGUGCAGGAAGAAGGUUUUCGGAUUGUAAACUGCUUUUAGACAGGGAAGAGAAAGGACAGUACCUGUAGAAUAAGCUCCGGCUAACUACGUGCC